AUUCUACUCCCUCCAUUCCACAAUACAUGCCUUCUAUUUGUCAAAAUAUAGAUGUAUCUAGACAUGUUUUAGUAUAUAGGUACAUCCAUUUUUGGAAAAAUGGAAGUCAAGUAUUUUGGAAUGGAGGGAGUACACA
rnacentral:pre_miRNA from 1 species